rnacentral:tRNA from 1 species
GGUUCCAUGGUGUAAUGGUUAACACUAUGGACUCUGAAUCCAGCAAUCCGGUCUCGGUGGAACCU